UACGUAGGGUGCGAGCGUUGUCCGGAAUUAUUGGGCGUAAAGAGCUCGUAGGCGGUGUGUCGCGUCGGCCGUGAAAACCUGCAGCUUAACUGUGGGCGUGCGGUCGAUACGGGCAUCACUGGAGUUCGGCAGGGGAGACUGGAAUUCCUGGUGUAGCGGUGAAAUGCGCAGAUAUCAGGAGGAACACCGGUGGCGAAGGCGGCUCACUG
rnacentral:rRNA from 1 species